GGCCUGAUGGCUCGGUUGGUAAAGUACUCGCCUGAAGCAAUUUUCAAAUUGCUGAGGUCUAGAGUUCAAUUCUCUCUGGUCA